GGAGAAUUCAGGAAGCCAUUUGGUAACAAAAUGGAUUGCACUGUGAUAGACUGCAUCCAGUUUGCUAAGUAGAGUAUUGAAAGCUAUUUUGUAGAUGACAUCGCCAAAGUCGAGGAUCGAAAGGAUAGUCAGUUUUACUAGAAACCUAUAACUACGGUGGCGAUCCAGACAGACAUCAAGCUUUUGGCCAACCACUCCUGUACGGUACGGCUGGUGUGCAACGUGUCCUGCUACCCCAACAUUAGCUACACCUGGGAAAGAGACAAUGAGAUCUACGGGGACGCCCAGCAGAUUCACUUCUCUCUCUCACCUGCAGAGAGAGACAUCAGUGUAAAGUGUAAUGCCUCCAACCUAGUCAUUUGGAAAACUGCCUUUGAGACAGGAAAGUGUAGUAAUGACACACCACCCCAGGACUGGUGUAGUAUACCAUCUACAUCGGAAUAUCAGUAGGAGGCGCUGUGGUGCUGAUCCUCACUGUAGCUGUGGCAGUGUGCUACUGCAGGGGCCGAAGCAACACUGCAGAUCUAACUGACAUCACAAUAUAUGCUGAUGUUAUGGACAACACAAUAAUUAGAGAUACUACAUCAAACAGUCAUGUAAACCCAAUAUCCAUCUGUGAAACUGUCAAUGAUCUGGUUAUCCCAAGAUUGAACAAGCCGCAGACUCUGUAUGAUAAGAUUACAUUUGGACAACCAGAAGGACCCCAAUCUCCCUACCAGGAAGUACUGUGAACUGAACAGGAUGUGGUCAUAGGCUGUGCCUUCAAUAGAUAUGGAACUCUCUGCAUCCUCUGCAAUUUACAGUUGUAUAUUCUGUAGAUAGGCCUAGAUAUUACUGUUAAAUUUAAUCACAAACUACACUAUUUGCUUCUAUUUCCUUCUCCCUUUGAUGAUUCUUAUAUAUACAGUAUAUCAUAAGGCCUUAUACCUUUCUUUGAAGGCCUAGAUACAAUUAGAAAAUUCGGAAAUGGGUAAUAGGCAGAAGAAGGCGUGGUGAUCAGAUAAGCUCAUGUCGAAUUUCUAUUUUCUAGAUUAAAGAAAAUAGUUUUAGUUAAUAGUAUGACAUUGAUUAGUGAGGUUGAUUUAUGCCUGUGAAUAGAAAGUGUACUAUUUUGCAUUAGGAUUAUGUGCUCGCCAGGCAUCAAUGAGGUUGUAAUCAGAGAGUAUAUGCUUUAGAUCCUUGGUUACGUGUUGAUUGUAAGUGGUCUUAUUUGAUUUGUCUGCAUGUCCAAAAUGGCAUUCAUGUCUGUCCCAAUUACCAGAUGGAAUUCAAUUCAUUCUAAAAAAAAAUAUGCUGAUCAGAGAAUCAAAAAUAAUUUUACCUUAUUUGCAUGCCUUGAGUGCUUUGCAUUUAGAGUGAAUUGUAAUUAACUCUCAUGACUGUAUUUGUUAGCGAAAGAGACAUGAUUGUUGUAUUGAAUGUUUUCAGUACUGUAGCCUUCACCAAGUGAAUGUCUAAGUGGAUAUGUUAUCUUAAAAAUUAAACUCAUCAUGACAACACAUUACAUAUAUCAUAAAGCCCCUGAGGGCCUAGUUACACCCUAACACACUGGUCUGAAACUCCUGGUUUAGUCAAAUUAUGCCGGCUUGCAAAGGGAUGUGUCAUUUCUAUUGGAAUCCUGCCAAAGUUAGGAUAUCCAAUCAUUUAAACUUUCAGUCACACGCAACCUGCAUUCAGAAUGACUGUUGGGGUAGGGAAGAUUGAUUUUGAUUUUGAGAAUUUCUAAAUCAUAUAAACUGGAACAAACAGAUCAGUAAUGGGUGAAAUAAGUCCAACUACUAACAGAUUGGAUUAGUUUAGAAAAAUCUAUGUUAUCUAUGUUUGUGUAGCAUAAGAUUAAUCAACCAGUACAUGCAAAUACACAGGUAUUGAAAUAAACCAUUCUGAAAAUCAACCUGUGAAGAGAUAAUGCUGGAAUAAUGAUAAUGAUGAUGAUUGGUGUCGUUUUGAGUUGUUUUGAGCAAACCUUAAUUUUGUAUUUUACUAAACAAGCGUGUUCAAAUACAACUGACUUUAAGCAGAGUUUGUUGAUUAAAGACUCAUUGGCUCAAAGUCUUGUCAUUUUUAAGU